GACGAACGCUGGCGGCAUGCUUAACACAUGCAAGUCGAACGGAACGGCCCUGCCUUUGUGGGCAGCUCGAGUGGCGAACGGGUAAGCAACACGUGAGUUCCCUGCAAUUGACCGUGGGAUAACCUAAGACCACAGGGGCUAUUCCCGCAUAGGAGUUCCUGCUGCUUGGUGGGGCUUGGAAAGUUUCGCUGGUUGGGGGUGGAAUGGCCGCUUAUCAGCUUGUUGGGUGGGUAGUGGCUUAGCAUGGCUUUGACGGGUGGCAGGGCUGGGAGGGGGACCGGCCACAUUGGGACUGAGAUACGGCCCAGACUCGUACGGGAGGCAGCAGUGGGGAAGAUUGCACAAUGGGCGGAAGCCUGAUGCAGCAACGCCGCGUGCGGGAUGACGGCCUUCGGGUUGUAAACCGCUUUCGCCUGUGACGAAGCGUGAGUGACGGUAAUGGGUAAAGAAGCACCGGCUAACUACGUG
rnacentral:rRNA from 1 species